rnacentral:rRNA from 1 species
UGCAGUCGAGCGGUAACAGAUCCAGCUUGCUGGAUGCUGACGAGCGGCGGACGGGUGAGUAAUGCAUAGGAAUCUGCCCGAUAGUGGGGGAUAACCUGGGGAAACCCAGGCUAAUACCGCAUACGUCCUACGGGAGAAAGGGGGCUUCGGCUCCCGCUAUCGGAUGAGCCUAUGUCGGAUUAGCUAGUUGGUGAGGUAACGGCUCACCAAGGCCACGAUCCGUAGCUGGUCUGAGAGGAUGAUCAGCCACAUCGGGACUGAGACACGGCCCGAACUCCUACGGGAGGCAGCAGUGGGGAAUAUUGGACAAUGGGGGGAACCCUGAUCCAGCCAUGCCGCGUGUGUGAAGAAGGCCCUCGGGUUGUAAAGCACUUUCAGCGAGGAAGAACGCCUAGCGGUUAAUACCCGCUAGGAAAGACAU